GUCGGGUUGCUAGAGAGGUCUAAUAGCGAGGACUGCAAAUCCUUUGUUCAAGGGUUCGAAUCCCUUACCCGAUUCCA
rnacentral:tRNA from 1 species